CCUACGGGUGGCAGCAGUGGGGAAUAUUGGACAAUGGGCGAAAGCCUGAUCCAGCCAUGCCGCGUGUGUGAAGAAGGCCUUCGGGUUGUAAAGCACUUUCAGUGGGGAAGAAAGCCUUGGGGCUAAUACCCUCGAGGAAGGACAUCACCCACAGAAGAAGCACCGGCUAACUCCGUGCCAGCAGCCGCGGUAAUACGGAGGGUGCGAGCGUUAAUCGGAAUUACUGGGCGUAAAGCGCGCGUAGGCGGUCUGAUAAGCCGGUUGUGUAAGCCCCGGGCUCAACCUGGGAACGGCAUCCGGAACUGUCAGGCUAGAGUGCAGGAGAGGAAGGUAGAAUUCCCGGUGUAGCGGUGAAAUGCGUAGAGAUCGGGAGGAAUACCAGUGGCGAAGGCGGCCUUCUGGACUGACACUGACGCUGAGGUGCGAAAGCGUGGGUAGCAAACAGGAUUAGAUACCCCAGUAGUC
rnacentral:rRNA from 1 species